UACGGAGGAUGCAAGCGUUAUCCGGAAUGAUUGGGCGUAAAGCGUCCGCAGGUGGCUAUGUAAGUCUGCUGUUAAAGCGUGAGGCUCAACCUCAUAAAAGCAGUUGAAACUACAUGGCUAGAGUGCGUUCGGGGCAGAGGGAAUUCCUGGUGUAGCGGUGAAAUGCGUAGAGAUCAGGAAGAACACCGGUGGCGAAAGCGCUCUGCUAGGCCGCAACUGACACUCAUGGACGAAAGCUAGGGGAGCGAAUGGG
rnacentral:rRNA from 1 species